UCGGGUUGUAAAGCACUUUUGUCCGGAAAGAAAACUUCUGCCCUAAUACGGCGGGAGGAUGACGGUACCGGAAGAAUAAGCACCGGCUAACUACGUGCCAGCAGCGCGGUAAUCGUAGGGUGCGAGCGUUAAUCGGAAUUACUGGGCGUAAAGCGUGCGCAGGCGGUUCGUUAAGACAGAUGUGAAAUCCCCGGGCUUAACCUGGGAACUGCAUUUGUGACUGGCGUGCUAGAGUAUGGCAGAGGGGGGUAGAAUUCCACGUGUAGCGGUGAAAUGCGUAGAGAUGUGGAGGAAUACCGAUGGCGAAGGCAGCCCCCUGGGCCAAUACUGACGCUCAUGCACGAAAGCGUGGGGAGCAAACAGGAUUAGAUACCCUGGUAGUCCACGCCCUAAACGAUGUCAACUAGUUGUUGGGUCUUCAUUGACUUAGUAACGUAGCUAACGCGUGAAGUUGACCGCCUGGGGAGUACGGUCGCAAGAUUAAAACUCAAAGGAAUUGACGGGGACCCGCACAAGCGGUGGAUGAAUGUGGAUUAAUUCGAUGCAACGCGAAAAACCUUACCUACCCUUGACAUGGUCGGAACCUGCUG
rnacentral:rRNA from 1 species